AUGGAUGGGGACCUGGUUUAAUUCGACGCAACGCCCUGAACCUUACCAGCCCUUGACAUGUCCAGGACCGGUCGCAGAGAUGUGACCUUCUCUUCGGAGCCUGGAACACAGGUGCUGCAUGGGUGUCGUCAGCUCGUGUCGUGAGAUGUUGGGUUAAGUCCCGCCACGAGCGCAACCCCCGUCCUUAGUUGCUACCAUUUAGAUGAGCACUCUAAGGAGACUGCCGGUGAUAAGCCGCGAGGAAGGUGGGGAUGACGUCAAGUCCUCAUGGCCCUUACGGGCUGGGCUACACACGUGCUACAAUGGCGGUGACAAUGGGAUGCUAAGGGGCGACCCUUCGCAAAUCUCAAAAAGACGUCUCAGUUCGGAUUGGGCUCUGCAACUCGAGCCCAUGAAGUUGGAAUCGCUAGUAAUCGUGGAUCAGAACACCACGGUGAAUACGUUCCCGGGCCUUGUACACACCGCCCGUA
rnacentral:rRNA from 1 species